rnacentral:rRNA from 1 species
GGAUUAGAUACCCUGGUAGUCCACGCCGUAAACGAUGUCUACUAGUUGUUGGGAGGCUUGACCUUUUAGUAACGAAGCUAACGCGAUAAGUAGACCGCCUGGGGAGUACGGCCGCAAGGUUAAAACUCAAAUGAAUUGACGGGGGCCCGCACAAGCGGUGGAGCAUGUGGUUUAAUUCGAAGCAACGCGAAGAACCUUACCUGGUCUUGACAUCCUGCGAACUUGCUAGAGAUAGCUUGGUGCCUUCGGGAGCGCAGAGACAGGUGCUGCAUGGCUGUCGUCAGCUCGUGUCG